UCUCCUUAGCACACCAGUUGGUUUAAGGAUCGCUUUGGAGAGGGAAAAAACCGCCACGGCAACAAUAAUAACAAGAAUAAUGUCUACUACUACUACUACUACUAUUGCUGCUACUGUCACUACUAUAACUAAAGAACAAAUGAUUUGCAUGUCUGCUGUACUGAAAGAUAAAAGAAAACAAAAUUGAAAGAAAUUUACACUUUUUUUAUUGCCAACUAAUACAUCUUUCUCUAAUGAUUCGUAAUAUGGCACAUUAAAUUAUCUUCUCUCUUUAUCUGUCUACAUUAUCAAAAUAUUUUUGACUUAUCAAAAUAAAUAGCUUUCAGUUUUUUGUUAAUAUCUAUGUUGAUUUCCUUAUUUCUAUCUUUCAGUCUUUUAAUCUAGAUAAAGUAGAUAUUUUUAUGUAUAUGAUUAAAUCCUUUAUAAUAUUCUUUAUUUAUUUUCUUAUUUUCAGUAUCGUAUUCCGAAAGUGUCUAGAAGCUUUAUCCUGUUUUGUAUCUAGACAUUUUUGCAUCGUAAGUAAAAUUUGUAACAAUGACGACUUCAAUAAUAAUAAAAAGGCUGACGCACCAAACCUCAAACUGCAA